UACGAAGGGGGCUAGCGUUGCUCGGAAUCACUGGGCGUAAAGGGUGCGUAGGCGGGUCUUUAAGUCAGGGGUGAAAUCCUGGAGCUCAACUCCAGAACUGCCUUUGAUACUGAAGAUCUUGAGUCCGGGAGAGGUGAGUGGAACUGCGAGUGUAGAGGUGAAAUUCGUAGAUAUUCGCAAGAACACCAGUGGCGGAGGCGGCUCACUGGCCCGGUACUGACGCUGAGGCACGAAAGCGUGGGGAGCAAACAGG
rnacentral:rRNA from 1 species